rnacentral:lncRNA from 1 species
UAAAGAGUUAAAACCAAAAACAAAAAAUAUUGAAAUGUCAAAGAGACAAGCAAAUUACUUGAUCGGUCGGAAACAUCGUGAAUUUCCAUGGUAGCAUUGGACGCGACCAUUGAACACGGAUCGUCGAUCGAGUCGUCUACGAAGAGAGUGGGUCAAGGUGGUCGUCUUCGUGAUCUCCUUAGUUCCGCGUUCUACUGGCGGGUUUCGUUCAUUCGUUUAUUCGGUGAAUAUGGAUCGUGUGUGCAUCGACAUGUACAUACACGCGUGUUCCUUCACUUAUACGUAUGUGCGACACGAUUGUAUAUAGGUACGGAUAUAACCUAUAUGCCGCGUCAUCAACCACUGCGAACCUACACCGUCAUCAGAAGUGAAAGAUGCUGGCGUCGCCAAAUCUUCCCUUUCUCCACCUUCUAUACGCGGAGAGAGUAAACGUGACGUCACUAGCUUAAAGCUGCUAGACGAAAUGAGAAGAACCGAUUGAUUCGUCCUUUUCGUUUCGUUUACCUGCGUAUUCUCUCCUUCUCGGAAGUUAUCUGUAUAAGUGAUAAAGAAUCUUGGAUUCAAUGAAGGAAUGAACUGUUGUUAUUAUUGUUACUGAUGGCUGCAUAUAUUUUUGAAGCAUUUUGAAUAGAUUGUUAUUUUUGUGAUCUUUUCUUAGACCUCAAUCCGAGGUGGCUAACCUAAGUAUUGUAAGUGACGUGAUCUAACUUAACCUAAAUACAGAUUUCACUGAAGUUGCACAAAAACUAUUUUUUCUAAUUUUGAUGAUUUUUAAAUGUGUUAUAGAAGAUAACUUUUUCUCUUAGUUUUUGAGAUAUUACAAAAAAAAAUUAUUAUUAUUAUAGAUAUAUAUCUAUAACUUAUGUAUUAAUAUCUUUAUAUAUUGUUAUAUAUAAUCAAUGAAAUGACAUCAUGCCACCAGCAUAGCAAUGCAAACAUAAGAACAAUCUUGAUACUGUCAUAUGUGUGUGGUCUGUGAUAAUUUAUAAUCGUGAUAUCAAUCCCUCGAAAGAAAUAUGAUUAAUAGCUGUAAACAAGAUGCAAGAAAACAAUCCAUUAUACACUGGAAGCAUUUUAACAUAUACUGAAAGAAUCGAAACCUUUAUAUAAGAUCCGAGACUCGUAUACACACUUGCCACUGUUUAUCUAAAAUUUACCGACACACAAAAGGUAGGUGAACGAGAUGAUGCACGUACAGAACAGAAUCGUUACGUACUUACAUUACAUACGAUCACAGAUGGAAGAGGCAGCAGCGUCCACGUCACUCGGUAAGGGGGUGUCACAGAGGAAAGCCGGCACAAGGGGUGACGACGGUAGAUAGAGAUAGGCCACGAUGCCCGCGUGACUUGACAAUAAAGCUCAUCUCACCUCCAACUCGUUCUGCAGCCUCCUUUUUCACUUCCCUUCUUCACUCUCGCUCGUCCUUCGUGCCACGAUUCACUUCCCCGCUAUAUACCCGCUACCAUCCGCUUCAUUCGAUACCCGUACGAUGUAGAACCUAUCUAUGAGCCUUAUUCGCCUGCACACUCACUUACAUUCCUUCUUUUUUUUUAAGGUAUCGCUUGCCAAUUGGCUGGGUGCUCGAAACGUUUCAUAAUGCGUUCGAAAGGAGUUAUA